GUGCCUCCUUCUUCUUGAUUUGGACUCUUCCAAAGAUGAAAAAUAAAAGGAGGAGUUUCAGAUCUGAGAUGCUCUCAGGAAACUCAAGAUGGAGGGAGGAAAGAUAUGAAAACAAACAACCCUAGAAGAAGACCCUCUUCUUCUUCUCGUUUCUCUCUCUAGACACCCUAACUUUUGUCUUUUAUAUCUCCACAACCCAAAGGUCU
rnacentral:lncRNA from 1 species